rnacentral:tRNA from 1 species
GUGGGUCUGGUCGAUGUGGUGCACGGUGACCGGUCGCGGUCCGGCCAGUGACCCCACGACGAACUCGUCACGCCGUUCCAAGCCGCUGGCGCGCA